UCAAAACAGCGGACUUCGGUCCUUGCUGCGCCCUUGUCUUUUGCGCACCGUAUUGUUUCCUCGGCGGGCUUGCCUGCCGGUUGGACAUUAUCAAAACCUUUUUGUAGUUGCAAUCAGCGUCAGAAAAACAAUAAUUAUUA
rnacentral:misc_RNA from 1 species